GGACAGUCUUCUCUGCAGACACCAGCCUGGUGUCCUCCUUCAUCCCAGGCUGCCAGGCUAGGCAGGGGGCAGCGGCUGCCCUGGUCCUCACAGCCCUGGCUGCGGGGCUGGUGACAGCCAGAUCCUCAUGCUUCUGUGACCAGAGCGCUGCCUUCAGACACCUCUCUGCUGGCGUGUUCCUGGGUCCAUGAUGGAAGAAGGAAAAGUAUUUUUAAAAGACAAUCUAAAGCUCACACUGUGACUGCAACAUAAAAUGUGUUCACCUGAGGAGACUGCUUUCACCGUGAGUGUGUCACAGAUGGUAGAAACCUCAGAAGGCCACAGUCCAGAGUAGGGGCUCAAUGCAAUGCAAGCUGCUGGAACUGAAUAAAGGUGAAGAAGGUCUCUGAUGGUUCUGGUUUCCUGGGCACCUAGAAUAAGUGUGUCAUCAUUUGUUCUGAAGCUGACUUCUCUGAGCUGGAUGGCACCCUGGACAUCAACCAGCCCUUCACCUUCACGUCACACAGGAGGGACACUGGUCCACAGAGAGGAUGCCUGCUCUGGUCACCAGCUGGAGAGUGGCAGACCUUGGGUACCUGACCUUUGGACUCUGCCACGCAGAGCACUUCCUCAGUCCCUCCUGCUGCCCCUGGCAGGGUGGAGCUGGCAGGGAGACCCUGUGCACUUGGCUGGCGGCGCGCUG
rnacentral:lncRNA from 1 species